UCUGGGUUCCCCAGGAAGGUGUUGCAGCCCUUACACAGGUCACCCGAAUUUGGCAGUCUCCAAAUAAUGCCAUAAGACAUCCUUAUGGCCAUCUGAAACGUACGGUGCCACUCUCCCGUGCUCCACCCCAGCUGCAGGAGCUGGAGGUCCCUUCCCACCACCACUCGGACCCUCUUGCGAGCAGCUUCCCAGCAGCUCAUGUCCCGGCUGGGGUCUCACGAGAGCGAUGGAGAGUCCCCCAACACCUCCCUGCCUCUCAGGCGGCGAGGCCGUGGGGCAUCCUGCCCUGCCAGGCAGCUUCUCCCCGCUCUGAAGGAAAGCAUCGGAGCCGCGGCUUGGCAGCGGCGAGCGCUUGCUUCCUAUCUGAAGCGGAACUGCUGUUUAGAAACACUGGCGCGUUCUGUAGACCACACAGUAGGUCCUGAGCAGGCUCUCACACACCUUUGCACUGUGAUAAGGGGAGUAUUAUUACUCUAGUAGUGGCCUGUAAAGAUAAGCUCUUUGGGGCGGGCAGUCUGCUUUUUUUUUUCCAAGCUCUCAUUCUGCCGCACCAGUAGCUCCAGAUUCUUUUCCCGGGGAAAUAAGCUGCUUUUUACUUAAACCUGUGGAGACUGAUGGAAAGUUUAGGUGCCACCACCCGACGCGGCUUGAGAGACCGGGAGAUGCUGCGGAAGAGAAAAGAAGAAGCCCAGGAGAAGGAUUCGGUUCAGUGGGCUUUAGGGGAGCAGGAGAAGAUCAAGCGGCCAAGAAGAGGAGCUGGAAGAGGACGGCGCCGCCGGUCCGAGGUGAAGCCAGAACCAGAAGCCGUGCUGAAGUCAGAACUAGAGCCGGACCGUGAGCCCCUGGCGCACAAGGAGGCUGUGCUGAUGCCUGCCGUGCCAGCACACCAAGACCAGCCACCCAUGGUGGGCACCAUACAGCAGGAGACGCCCGAUGAGGUGCAGAUGGGAGCACUGGAGGGAAACGUGGCAUGUGGGAGCCAGGCUGCUCUGAGUGAUCUGCCAUCUGGGAGCCAGAUCCCUCUGGGCAAUCUGCCAUCUGGGAGCCAGAUCCCUCCGAGUGAUCUGCCAUCCGGGAGCAAGUGUCCUCCAGGUGAUCUGCCAUCUGGGAGCAAGAGUCCUACAGGUGAUCUGCCAUCUGAGAACCAGAGCCCUCUGCUUGAUCUGCCAUCUGGGAGCCAGAGCCCUCUGCUUUACCUGCCGUCUGGGAGCCAGAGUCCUCUGGGUGAAGAAGAAAUGCUGAAACUUGCGGAAAUGAUACCAGAAGAUGUGAACACCCCCGUGGAAGACGACAAAGCGGGCAGCUUCCCCUCAGUCCUGUAUUAGCUUUCUCUCUCCAGUCUUAAUGUUCUCACUUAAAAUUUUCUGUCUGAGAGAAACUCUCAUGAGUGUUGUAAAGAGAUUUAGAGCCCCUCCUUCCCAGUGAAUAACAAAGCCAGUGUGCUCCCAGUGCUGUUUUUGGUCUGCAGAGUGGGGCUGUGCCCCCUGCCCCUCGCUGCAGGGCGCUGUCCCCACGGGCACCUGUCCCCAUUUCUGAAAGGUGCCUCCAACCCACCUCAGGGAAAUGCCAGCCCCACGGUAAAGCUGAACCCCCCUGUGACAUCCAGCAGGCCAGAGAGCUGCGGCUUGGGCUUUUUUUUUUCUCCACUUCUGACAAACCCGGCCAUCCCUGUGCUGUUAUCUGCGGCCCAAAGGCCUUUCUCACUGUCUGCUGUCCUGAUAAACAGCUCGCUUUCCUCAGGUCUGAGGAGAGCGUUGUUUUUCCUGCAAGCCAAUUAACUCUCACCUUGCUGAGCUGCACUAGACAAAGGCAAGCAGAUCCCCAUCGCAGAACAAUGACCAGCUGAACCAUACAUGUUGGUCAGGAAAGUGCCAUUUUGGGGCAAAAACGUGAGGCCCCUCUGCACAGGUGUUGUGUCUGCAGCUCCCCUGACAACUUUCAGGCCGAGACUCCAAAGAAACACGUGCCUGUGCCAUGUACCCAGAAUUUCUGUGAAAUCAGUGAAGAACAGGGCUUCCUCUCCUCCCACAUUUCACUUCUUGGCCUUCUGGCUAAGAUCGAGUGUAGUGUGUAGAUUUCAGGACUUGUGCUCUUCUCCUCUGUGCAUGUGGGGGUGGCUUUUUUUUUUCAUUUCUGUGCACCCUGACCUAGAAGGUCUUUCUCCUGGAGAACAACACCGACAACAACAACAAAAAAUAAUUAAAUAAACUUAUGGCUGAGCAUCA
rnacentral:lncRNA from 1 species